rnacentral:rRNA from 1 species
GAUGAACGCUGGCGGCGUGCCUAAUACAUGCAAGUCGAGCGAACGGACGAGAAGCUUGCUUCUCUGAUGUUAGCGGCGGACGGGUGAGUAACACGUGGAUAACCUACCUAUAAGACUGGGAUAACUUCGGGAACCCGGAGCUAAUACCGGAUAAUAUUUUGAACCGCAUGGUUCAAAAUGGAAAGACGGUCUUGCUGUCACUUAUAGAUGGAUCCGCGCUGCAUUAGCUAGUUGGUAAGGUAACGGCUUACCAAGGCAACGAUGCAUAGCCGACCUGAGAGGGUGAUCGGCCACACUGGAACUGAGACACGGUCCAGACUCCUACGGGAGGCAGCAGUAGGGAAUCUUCCGCAAUGGGCGAAAGCCUGACGGAGCAACGCCGCGUGAGUGAUGAAGGUCUUCGGAUCGUAAAACUCUGUUAUUAGGGAAGAACAUAUGUGUAAGUAACUGUGCACAUCUUGACGGUACCUAAUCAGAAAGCCACGGCUAACUACGUG